rnacentral:rRNA from 1 species
CCUACGGGAGGCUGCAGUGAGGAAUAUUGGUCAAUGGACGCAAGUCUGAACCAGCCAAGUAGCGUGAAGGAUGACUGCCCUCCGGGUUGUAAACUGCUUUUAUUUGGGAAUAAAAUGUGGCUCGUGCGCCUCUUUUUGUAUGUACUAUCAGAAAGAGUACGGUCUAAUUCCGUGCCAGCAGCCGCGGUAAUACGGAAGCUCCGGGCGUUAUCCGGAUUUAUUGUGUUUAAAGGGAGCGUAGGGCGGUUUUUAAGUCAGGUGGGAAAGUCCGCGGCUCAACCGUAAAAGUGCAUUUGAUACUGGCGGUCUUGAGUGCAGUUGGGGCAGCCGGAAUUCAUGGUGUAGCGGUGAAAUGCGUAGAUAUCACGAAGAACUCCGAUUGCGAAGGCAAGUGACU